UAAGGAAGUGUAUUGUGCAGGAAAACUUCCGGGACAAAAUUGUUACUUUUCUUUCGUCAUGUUCGUACCGCCGUUCCAGAUCUCUUCCUUCGUGUAAAUCAUGUUGUGAAUCUGAGUAAAAAGUCUGUCACUUUGGCAAGUUCAUUUCAUCCUUGUUUCCCUUAUAUAUAGGAGGAAGAUUAAUUGACAACAGACAAAUCUGCAAGACAACAAGUCACGAGGGCUCAGCCCAUUAAGAUCCCCAUUCAAACUGGAAAGCAAGUUCGCAGUCAUGGCACUGAUGUGGCUGCUUCUGGGGUUAUCAAUUAUCCCCCUUUUAUGCAAUGCUCAGACCUGUGCACCUUGCCAUCAAGAUGCAACAUGUAUGGCUGAAAACUGUACAUGCAAUGCUGGCUUCACUGGAGAUGGAAUGGAUU